GGGUGGCCUGUCGAUGUCGGUGACGUUAGCUGGCAGGCUAACAGUGCCACAUCAUACAGAACGAAGACAAAGUAAACAAAUUGCUACAGUUAAAAGUCAUGGACAGACAGCAUAUCGCUAACAGGGAUGUUAAAGAGCAACGACCAAACCAGCAUCUAACGGGUCCGAAGUAACAUUUUCAGCAGGAUGCAAUCAGGCUCAGUGUGACCAUCUGCCUAGCCUACAAUCGAACAUCAUGUUAUUGCUUUAUUCAAGAUUUGAUUUGCUGUAUUGAAAUAAGGACUCAGGAAAAGUGAUUCACAGAGCAGAUGUGUAGGCCUACUGUAUGCUGUAGUACACAAAUAAAAGGCAGUUUAAUUUCUGUUGGACUUCAAACAUCUAUAGAAACCUAUCAAGCCACUCAUGCAGUAUGAUCCACUUCUCUGCUGUUGAUCUGUAUCUUAAACGAGUUCAGAACAAUCUACAUUUGGCCAAGAAAUUGCUAAAUACGCUACUACCAGUGGAGCUUCAGAGCUAUGAGGAGGGGCCCUCUCAAGCCACAGGGGGUGAGUAUUUGGUCAGCAAAAGAAACAUUUUUAGUGGAGUAUUCCUUUAAAUCAGUUGAACCCAUCUUACAACCCAUAAGACCUCAGCUUGUAAUUUCAACAUUUGUUUGAAAUUACUGCCCAAUGAAAUACUUUAUGUAUAUUCCCAUUGUUUGCAGUGGUUCAUUUUCAAGUUAAAUGCGUCACACUGAUUAAAAUGAAUAUAUGUAGCACACCUAAAAGUAGUUAAACUGGUUGUAGAGUUUUUUUAAA